CCUGUACGAUCACCGAAGUUAAGAACCGUCGAGCCUGAUCAGUACCUAGAUGGGUGACCGCUUGGGAAUACCAGCUGCUGUAA